rnacentral:rRNA from 1 species
AUGGGUGGAGAUUAUCCUUAAACUUUCCGACCUAUAAGCUUUAGCUUUCCGGCUAAUGCCUACCGUGCCGAUGACGGAAACGGGGAAUUAGGGUUCGAUUCCGGAGAGGGAGCCUGAGAAACGGCUACCACAUCUAAGGAAGGCAGCAGGCGCGCAAAUUACCCAAUCCUAAUACAGGGAGGUAGUGACAAGAAAUAACAAUACAGGACUUUUUGGUUUUGUAAUUGGAAUGAGUUAAGUAUAAACCCCUUUACAAGUAUCAAUUGGAGGGCAAGUCUGGUGCCAGCAGCCGCGGUAAUUCCAGCUCCAAUAGCGUAUAUUAAAGUUGUUGCAGUUAAAAAGCUCGUAGUUGGAUUUCUGUUAAUAAUUUAUAUAAAAUAUUUUGAAUAUUUAUAUAACAUUAACAUAAUUCAUAUUACUAUAUUUUUUAGUAUAUGAAAUUUUACUUUGAGAAAAUUAGAGUGCUUAAAGCAGGCAUAUGCCUUGAAUACUCCAGCAUGGAAUAAUAUUAAAGAUUUUUAUCUUUUUUAUUGGUUCUAAGAUAAGAAUAAUGAUUAAUAGGGACAGUUGGGGGCAUUUGUAUUUAACAGUCAGAGGUGAAAUUCUUAGAUUUGUUAAAGUCAAACUAAUGCGAAAGCAUGAGCCAAGGAAUUGUCAUUACUCAAGAUCGAAAGUUAGGCGAUAUAAGAGGACCUUUUAGAGAUAUACACGC